rnacentral:rRNA from 1 species
GGAUCCAGACUUUGCUUUUAGUUCAGGAUGAACGCUGGCGGCGUGCUUAACACAUCCUAGUCGAACGGGAAAUAUUUUAUUGAAACUUCGGUCGAUUUAAUUUAUUUCUAGUGGCGGACGGGUGAGUAACGCGUGGGUAACCUGCCUUAUACUGGGGGAUAACAGCCAGAAAUGACUGCUAAUACCGCAUAAGCGCACAGAACCGCAUGGUUCGGUGUGAAAAACUCCGGUGGUAUAAGAUGGACCCGCGUUGGAUUAGCUAGUUGGCAGGGCAGCGGCCUACCAAGGCGACGAUCCAUAGCCGGCCUGAGAGGGUGAACGGCCACAUUGGGACUGAGACACGGCCCAGACUCCUACGGGAGGCAGCAGUGGGGAAUAUUGCACAAUGGGGGAAACCCUGAUGCAGCGACGCCGCGUGAAGGAAGAAGUAUCUCGGUAUGUAAACUUCUAUCAGCAGGGAAGAUAAUGACGGUACCUGACUAAGAAGCCCCGGCUAACUACGUGCCAGCAGCCGCGGUAAUACGUAGGGGGCAAGCGUUAUCCGGAUUUACUGGGUGUAAAGGGAGCGUAGACGGCGCAGCAAGUCUGAUGUGAAAGGCAGGGGCUUAACCCCUGGACUGCAUUGGAAACUGCUGUGCUUGAGUGCCGGAGGGGUAAGCGGAAUUCCUAGUGUAGCGGUGAAAUGCGUAGAUAUUAGGAGGAA